UACAUAGCACUUCACCUCCUCAAAUAUUCGUCCAUAAAACCCUGGAAUGGUAGUGACGGCCAGAAAACCAAGACCCAGGGAGGAGGAUUUGCUCAAGGUCACAAAGCUGGUUUACAGCUGAGCUGACGGGAGAGCCUCGGUGUCUUGGCUUUGUGCUGCUACCUGCCAGGGGCUUCCGCCUUGCUUAGAUAGCUUGCUUUGCAAUACCCAGUGAGGAAGGCGGAAGCAGACUGGCUACAGCCUUCAGCUGGAGGAACAGAGAGCAGGGAAGGGGAGUGAUCUAUUGACCAAGGAGAAAGCUGUAUCUGACCUAUCUGCUUCCAGACCUACCUUCUGAGCCCUCGAACCCUGAAGCUGCAUGCUUUCUUUUACCUGCUCAUCUACCUGGGCUGUCUCUCUUGGAAGAUGACACUGCUGAGCUCCCAGCUUCCCAAGCGGCUUGACUUCUCCCCUUUGCCCCCUCGCCACCCACCCCUUGCCUAAGCAAUCACCAAGACCUUGAAUUCCUUCUGUUUAGUAUUUGAUUUGCUCACUAUUCUCCAUCCCCGCUACCACUCUCUGUCUACCACAGAGCCUACUAAUUAGCCUCUUCACCUCCACUCUUUAUUCCCUCCUAUCCAUUGUACUUCCAAAUACCUAAUCAGAUCACUCUCCUGCUGAAAACCCUUCCAGGGCUCUCAAUGGCCUCGAGUUAAAUGAAGCCCAGACACCUCAUCACAAGGCUCGCAUCCUUUCUCCUGGCUUGUCCAGGGCAUGGCCUCACACAGCACCCCAGCCAGAAGGAUGCUCAGUUCCCUGACCUCAUCAUGCUACAGCUCAUCCUGAUUUGGUGACCAAAGCACAGCGACCCAUAACAAGUGGGACAUUUCUUACUGGCUGUGUGAUACUGAGAAGCAAGUCACCUUGCACUUCAGCCUGUGGAGGUGAACCCAGGACUGUGAUUCUGCCAUUCGGAGCAUUGGCUGACUGCAGAGUAAGACACACGCUCAAGGAACUUAACUCUCUUGUUUGGGCAGAAUGGAAACACUUUGAAAUAAUGGUUCAGGGAAUUCCACCGGGGAAAGACAAAAGCAGGGUCAGAAUGCAGAGGAGAUGACAUGCAAAGCAUGUGAUCCCAAGGCAGUGGGCAGUACCUGAGACUCCCGAGAGGGAAAUCUGCCCAGCCCAGGCAGGAAGGGCUGGAGGGAGGAGACAGCUCAGGAGGCCGAUGGGGCUGGAAAGCAGCAACAGGAGAGGUGAGAAAGGCUCUCUGGGCAAGAGGCUGCAGGUCUCGGUGCCUGCCUGGCCUUCCAUUCUAGGUGCUCAUCUUUAUGGCCCGGUCAUGUGACCCAAAUUGUUCUCUAGCUCCAAGAAAAAAUUCUUUUUUUGUGGUCUUCGUUUUGUUGGUUUUUGUUUUGUUUUGUUUUGAAAAAAGCAAUGCAGUCACUUGGGACUCAACACAUGAAAUGAGGUGGUGAAAGUGUGGAAAUGGAUUAAAAAUAGAGCAGGAACAUUGAAUCAACAGGUGAAAGGGAUCGUCCUAUUCCCAGAAGAAAUGGCCAUUCUCUUAUAAUCGUCCAUAGAUUUCUCUGGGACACAGACCUAGCAGUGGGAUUGCUGAUUUACAGAGUAUGUAAAUGGCUUCACAGGAAAUGCCAUACUGCUCUCCAGG